CCUACGGGUGGCAGCAGUGAGGAAUAUUGGGCAAUGGACGAGAGUCUGAACCAGCCAAGUAGCGUGAAGGAUGACGGCCCUAUGGGGUGUAAACUUCUUUUAUAGGGGAAUAAAAUGGUACACGUGAGGGAUGUUGUAUGUACCAUAUGAAUAAGGAUCGGCUAACUCCGUGCCAGCAGCCGCGGUAAUACGGAGGAUCCGAGCGUUAUCCGGAUUUAUUGGGGUUAAAGGGAGCGUAGGGGGAUUGUUAAGUCAGUUGUGAAGGUUUGCGGCUCAACCGUAAAAUUGCAGUUGAAACUGGCAGUCUUGAGUACAGUAGAGGUGGGCGGACUUCGUUGUGUAGCGGU
rnacentral:rRNA from 1 species